rnacentral:RNase_P_RNA from 1 species
CGAUGGCAGAUGAUCGCUGGUGAGUCCCGCGUUGGCGGGAUUUUGCUGGAGGAAAGUCCGAACACCAUACGGCGGCAUGCCGCGUAGAACACGCGGGAGUUGCAGUUGAAAAACUGCGGCGAUGGAAAGUGUCACAGAAAACACACCGCCGGUUCUUUGGCAACAAAGUGCAGGCAAGGGUGAAAAGGCGAGGUAAGAGCUCACCGCUCGCGGAGCAAUUCGCGAGGCACGAAAAACCCCAUGCGGUGCAAGACAAAACAGAGGAAGGGCAGCCGGCCCGAUUUAAUCCUCGGGUAUGUCGCUAAGAUAAAUGAUCAUCGUCCCGAAGAAAUUCGGGAGACAGAAUUCGGCUUAUCGCCAUCGAAAA